GACGAACGCUGGCGGCGUGCUUAACACAUGCAAGUCGAACGGAAAGGCCCUGCUUUUGUGGGGUUCUCGAGUGGCGAACGGGUGAGUAACACGUGAGUAACCUCCCCUUGACUUUGGGAUAACUUCUGGAAACUGGGGCUAUUAUCGGAUAGGACCUCCUGCUGCAUGGUGUGGGUUGGAAAGUUUCGGCGGUUGUGGAUGGUUUCGAGGCUUAUCAGCUACUUGGUGUGGUAGUGGUUUACCAAGCCUUCGACGGGUAGCCGGCCUGGGAGGGGGACCGGCCUCAAUGGGACUACGGGAGGGACCAGAAGCCUACGGGCGGCAGUGGGCGGAAAUCUGACGCAACGGGGGGAAGCCAGUGGCAACAACGCCCGGUGCGGGAUACCGGGUUUCGGGUUGAGAACAGAUUUGUCAGGUGACGAAGCGUGAGUGACGGUAAUGGGUAAGAAAGCACCGGCUAACUACGUG
rnacentral:rRNA from 1 species